rfam:Plasmopara halstedii genome assembly, contig: Scaffold_2034
GCCGGGUUGGGUGGCGCCAACUUGUCACGGUCAUGCUUCUGACCGGGAAGUAAGGUAUACGCAUUGUGGCAUGGGUCAUUGUAGUACUAUACCCAGUAUGUGGAAGGCGCGUCCAUUUCAAACCAGGAGUUGACAUUGGAAAAUUAUCGUAAGAAAAAGUUUCAAGGUCACUAAGGAAGGGUGUACAGCCCCAGGCUGGAUAACAGAGCAGGGAAAAAUUCUCGCUCUUGGUAGUGGAAGGAUCUCGUGCCCGAAUACUGACGUGCGGCAAUGAUUCAAAAACAAAAUGCAAUUACCUCGCGA